CGGGUGGUGGCGCAGCCCGGUAGCGCACUUGUAUGGGGUGCAAGGGGUCGACAGUUCGAAUCUGUUCCACCCGA
rnacentral:tRNA from 1 species